ensembl:snRNA U6 U6 spliceosomal RNA
GUGCUCACUUUGGCAGCACAUAUACUAAAAUUGGAACGAUACACAGAAGUUUAGCAUGGCCCCUGUGCAAGGAUGACAUACAAAUUUGUGAAGUGUUCCAUAUUUUU